CCUGCCCCUAGAGGCAUGGUAAGUGUGAUUGCUGUGUCACAUGUGUGUCAGUAGGUGGCAGAGAGGAGAUAGGUUGUGUUUUUCCCAGCGUUCUGAUCUGUGGACAUCUCAAUGAUUAGUAGCCUAACAGU
ensembl:snoRNA Gm24469 predicted gene, 24469